CAUGCGCGGAUGUCUGGCCACAGGUGGCCUGGCAGGCUGUAACCGGCCGCUGAGCGGGCCUUUUUGUGUCCCGAGGCUUGGGCCUGGCAGCCUAGUCCGUAAGCUAAGAAGAGGAGCUUUACGACUUGGCCUGGCGCAGCAAAGGCCAGACUCAGAGCCAGCAGGCGCUGGGCACCAAGCGGCCGGCGCCUGGCGGGCACGAUCGCACGGUCGCUCGGAAGCUCCUCAAUGGCCAGCGCCAACUACAGCCCAGUCAGCAGCCCCGCACUCGCCUCUUCUGAGCUUGGGUACCUGCGCCCCACAACACCUCCCCAGCCAGGGCCCGGAGACCCCGGGGAUCGUCUCCCGCUACCUGGCGCCGCUCAUCCUGGGCAGGGCAAAUCUGGAUUGGGAAAGUCGACAUUAAUCAACUCAUUAUUCCCCACAGAUUUGUAUUCUCCAGAGUAUCCAGGUCCUUCUCAUAGAAUUAGAAAGACUGUACAGCUGGAAGCCUGUUAUCGAUUACAUUGCUAGUAAAUCUGAGGACUACCUAAAUGCAGGAUCACGAGUGGACAGACGUUAGAUGCCUGAUAACGGUGCAGUGUUGUUUAUACUUCAUUGCUCCUUCAGAACAUGGACCAUUGCAUAACUGAAGACUCCCACCUUCAGUCAGGAUUGGGUAGUACGUGUUUGUAACUACUUGGUGUUGCCUUUUGUUGAGACUUAAACCAUUGGAUAUUGAGUUUAUGAAGCACUUGCAUGAAAAAGUGAGUAUCAUUCCAUUUAAUGCCAAAGCAGACACUCACACCAGAGGAAUGCCAACAGUUUACAAAACAGAUAAUAAAAGAAAUCCAAGAACAUAAAAUUAAAAUAUAUGAAUUUCCAGAAACAGAUGAUGAAGAAGAAAAUAAACGUGUUAAAAAGAUAAAGCUCCAGCGGCACCAUGAGCAACUGAAAAAUAAUUUGGAAGCACAGCACAAAGAAUUAGAGGAAAAAUGUCAUCACUUUGAGGAUGAGAAAGCAAACUGGGAAGCUCAACAAUGUAUUUUAGAGCAACAGAACUCUUCGAGAACAAGAAGAAAGGGAAGAUCUUUUAAACUCUCUAUUGACCACCAGUUAUGUAUUAGUUGCUAAUAUGCCAGCUUGGACAUCAGUGUUUGUUGCAUCCGUUUGACCAGUUUGCACCAGUUUUAUCCAUAAUGAUGGAUUUAACAGCAUGACAAAAAUUAUUUUUGUUGUUGUUCUUCUUGAUGGAGAUUAAGAUGCCUUGAAUUGUCUAGGGUGUUGUGUACUUACAAACUAACAGCUCUAAGUACCUUUCCUACAUUUUCUUUUUCUUUUUUUUAUUAAACAGGUAUCUUCAGUUUAAUGCAAGAGAACAUUUUACUGUUGUACAAUCAUGUUCUGGUGAUUUGAUAGUUUAUAUGAGAUUCCAAAAUAAAAAGACUCUGGAAGAUUUUCAUUGAGGAUAAGCUGCCAUAAUAUGAUGCAAACUGUGCUUCUCUAUGAUGAUUAUAAUACAGAGGUUCCAUUCAAUGCAGCAUAUACAUAAUGUAAUUUAGUCUGACACAGUUGACCCUAUUUUUUGACACUUCCGUUGUUUAAAAAUACACAUGGGAAAAAACCCUAUGUGCUUACAGUGCACCUGGAGCUUUUUUAUAACAACCUCCUUUUGUUUGUUUAUUUUGGAUUCUUUAAAUAUAUAUUAUUCUCAUUUAGUGCCCUGUUUAGCCAGAAUCUCAUUACUGCUUCAUUUUUGUAAUAACAUUUAAUUUAGAUAUUUUCCAUAUAUUGACCCUGCUAAAAUAGAAUAUAACAUCUUUCAUGUGGUAGGAACCAACAGGGAAACUUUCCUUUAACUCCCUUUUUACACUUUAUGAUAAGUAGCAGGGGGAAAAUGCAUUUAUAGAUCAUUUCUAAGCAAAAUUGUGAAGCUAAUAACCUACCUGUUUCUACCUAUAUGCAGUCUCUUUAUUUUACUAGAAAUGGGAAUCAUGGCCUCUUGAAGAGAAAAAAAGUCACCAUUCUGCGUUUAGCUGUAUUCAUAUAUUGCAUUUCUGUAUUUUUUGUUUGUAUUGUAAAAAACUCACAUAAAAAACCAUGUUGUGGGGCAGAGCAA